CUAUGCGCCUUGCCAGCCCGCUCAGGUGUGCCAGCAGCCGCGGUAAUACGUAGGGGGCAAGCGUUAUCCGGAUUUACUGGGUGUAAAGGGAGCGUAGACGGCAGUGCAAGUCUGGAGUGAAAGGCGGGGGCUCAACCCCCGGACUGCUCUGGAAACUGUACAGCUGGAGUGCAGGAGAGGUAAGUGGAAUUCCUAGUGUAGCGGUGAAAUGCGUAGAUAUUAGGAGGAACACCAGUGGCGAAGGCGGCUUACUGGACUGUAAAUGACGCUGAGGCUCGAAAGCGUGGGGAGCAAACAGG
rnacentral:rRNA from 1 species